UAGCAGAGGGGGCAAGCGUUUGUUCGGAAUUAUUGGGCGUAAAAGGAGCUCGUAGGACGGUUUGUCGCGUCUGCCGUGAAAGUCCGGGGCUUCAACUUCCGGAUCUGCUGGUGGGUACGGGCAGACUAGAUGUGAUGUAGGGGAGACUGGAAUUCCUGGUGUAGCGGUGAAAUGCGCAGAUAUCAGGAGGAACACCAAUGGCGAAGGCAGCUCGCUGGAACGGAACUGACGCUGAGGCGCGAAAGCGUGGGGAGCGAACAGG
rnacentral:rRNA from 1 species